UACGUAGGGGCAAGCGUUGUCCGGAAUUACUGGGCGUAAAGCGCACGCAGGCUGACUUAUAAGUCGGUAGUCUAAUGCGGAGGCUCAACUUCCGUUUAUCUAUCGAUACUGUAAGACUAGAGUAUGUGAGAGGGAAGUGGAAUUCCCGGUGUAGCGGUGAAAUGCGUAGAUAUCUGGAGGAACACCGGUGGCGAAGGCGACUUUCUGGCUGACAACUGACGCUGAGGCGCGAAAGCGUGGGGAGCAAACAGGAUUAGAUACCCGCGUA
rnacentral:rRNA from 1 species